rnacentral:rRNA from 1 species
AGCAGUCGCCACGGGAAUACGUAGGUGGCAAGCGUUGUCCGGAAUUAUUGGGCGUAAAGGGCUCGCAGGCGGUUUCUUAAGUCUGAUGUGAAAGCCCCCGGCUCAACCGGGGAGGGUCAUUGGAAACUGGGAAACUUGAGUGCAGAAGGGGAGAGUGGAAUUCCACGUGUAGCGGUGAAAUGCGUAGAGAUGUGGAGGAACACCAGUGGCGAAGGCGACUCUCUGGUCUGUAACUGACGCUGAGGAGCGAAAGCGUGGGGAGCGAACAGGAUUAGAUACCCCGGUAGUCCCUGUCUCUUAUAC